rnacentral:rRNA from 1 species
GAUGAACGCUGGCGGCGUGCCUAAUACAUGCAAGUCGAGCGAACAGACGAGGAGCUCGCUCCUCUGACGUUAGCGGCGGACGGGUGAGUAACACGUGGAUAACCUACCUAUAAGACUGGGAUAACUUCGGGAAACCGGAGCUAGUACCGGAUAAUAUAUUGAACCGCAUGGUUCAAUAGUGAAAGACGGUUUUGCUGUCACUUAUAGAUGGAUCCGCGCCGCAUUAGCUAGUUGGUAAGGUAACGGCUUACCAAGGCAACGAUGCGUAGCCGACCUGAGAGGGUGAUCGGCCACACUGGAACUGAGACACGGUCCAGACUCCUACGGGAGGCAGCAGUAGGGAAUCUUCCGCAAUGGGCGAAAGCCUGACGGAGCAACGCCGCGUGAGUGAUGAAGGUCUUCGGAUCGUAAAACUCUGUUAUUAGGGAAGAACAAAUGUGUAAGUAACUAUGCACGUCUUGACGGUACCUAAUCAGAAAGCCACGGCUAACUACGUG